GUUUUUUCCUUCCUUCUUUGAAUCGCGUUCAUCAGAGAUUGUGAAGUUGGAGUCUAUUUCACCCACCAUGAUGUCCAUCUAUCCACGUUGCCGCAGAGGUCUGAUGGCGCAGAUGUGGUUGACCGUGUCUUCAGAAGGAUGAGUUGAGUGAACAACUGGGAAAGAUUUGCUUCAGUCCAUAGUUGUGUUAGGAUGAUGUGAAGGACUGCAGUAUGCCGCCUCGCAGAUGGCAGUGAGAUGAGAUCACUUCCUGAAAGGACUCUAGUAAGCUUGAGGUGACGACAUGGGAUCUCUGGAAUGGGAUGAUUCAAUGCCAGGUGUGAGCUUCACCUGGAUCUGAAGGAUGCAACAUGAAUGCCGUUCUGUGCGGUUUCAAGUGGACUGGAAUUUGUGAACAGCCUUUAGGCAGUUUUCUUUGUUUCAAUAAAACGCAAUCUAGAAGUUGAA